GAUGCCUGAACUCUGCACUAUGUUUAAGCCAAUAUUCUGGAAGUAGUUCUGGAAGUCAAGCAGUAGAAUAUGUCAGGUUCUGGAACUCAGUUCUGGUGUUCUGUCCCUUGUCAAUCUUGUGUAUUUCCCUCAGUGAUUCAAACAGCAAAUGGACACAAAAUUAGACACAAAUACAGCAAGUUUUUAUGGUAAUAAUUUGUGUUUCAGUGUCUUGUCAGUGGUGGAAGAGAUACUCUGGAGCUGUCGCAGGAUGUCUGGGGCUGCUGUGUGUUCUCCUACUGGCUGGGAUCAUAGGCCUGUUUCUCUACCAGAGAAACCAAUUGACAUGUUACAACACCCCGACCAAAGAGAGAGACCAGGUACAGACCAGCGGCAACAACCUGACCGAAGAUAGAGACCAGCUACAGACCAGUUACAACACCCUGACCAAAGAAAGAGACCAGCUACAGAAAGAGAUAGAACGUUUGAAAAAUCCUUUAGUUGAGCAAGUGUGUCCGCGAGGAUGGAAGAAGCUUGGUAGCAGUUGUUACUACGUCUCUACUGAGAAAAAAUCCUGGGAGGAGAGCAGACAGGACUGCAGAAAUAGAGGAGCACACCUGGUUGUCAUCAAGAACCAAGAACAACAGGUGUGUGUGGUACAGAGAAAUA